CCCCUCCUCUAGCUCUUCCUCCCAACAAAAGGAUGUCCAAAUUUAAGCUUCGAGUAACUAUCCUCAUAUAUUUGGACCAAGCUAGAUUAUUAUUUGUACUAAAUAAGAUAAUUAUUUAUACUAAGUAAGAUUAUCUUACCCUCUCAAGAAAAGAUAUAACAAAGAUAAUUAUAGUUAUAUAUUUUGUAUAAUUAAUAUAAGUUUAUAUAAUUAGUUUUAUGCAAAUGUCUGCCGA
rnacentral:lncRNA from 1 species